rnacentral:rRNA from 1 species
UCGGUGCUUGCACCGGGUGAUCAGUGGCGAACGGGUGAGUAACACGUGAGCAACCUGCCCCCGACCCUGGGAUAACCCCGAGAAAUCGGAGCUAAUACCGGAUACGAGACGCACAGGCAUCUGUAGCGUCUGGAAAGAUUCAUCGGUCAGGGAUGGGCUCGCGGCCUAUCAGCUAGUUGGUGAGGUAGUGGCUCACCAAGGCGACGACGGGUAGCCGGCCUGAGAGGGCGACCGGCCACACUGGGACUGAGACACGGCCCAGACUCCUACGGGAGGCAGCAGUGGGGAAUAUUGCACAAUGGGCGCAAGCCUGAUGCAGCGACGCCGCGUGGGGGAUGAAGGCCUUCGGGUUGUAAACCCCUUUCAGCAGGGAAGAAGCGAAAGUGACGGUACCUGCAGAAGAAGCGCCGGCUAACUACGUGCCAGCAGCCGCGGUAAUACGUAGGGCGCAAGCGUUGUCCGGAUUUAUUGGGCGUAAAGAGCUCGUAGGCGGUUUGUCGCGUCUGCUGUGAAAACCCGAGGCUCAACCUCGGGCCUGCAGUGGGUACGGGCAGACUAGAGUGCGGUAGGGGAGACUGGAAUUCCUGGUGUAGCGGUGGAAUGCGCAGAUAUCAGGAGGAACACCGAUGGCGAAGGCAGGUCUCUGGGCCGCAACUGACGCUGAGGAGCGAAAGCAUGGGGAGCGAACAGGAUUAGAUACCCUGGUAGUCCAUGCCGUANACGUUGGGCACUAGGUGUGGGGCUCAUUCCACGAGNUCCGUGCCGCAGCAGACGCAUUAAGUGCCCCGCCUGGGGAGUACGGCCGCAAGGCU